GUUAUCAUGGCCGAGUGGUUAAGGCGAUGGACUUAAUAUCUUUUGGGAUCUUCCCGCGCAGGUUCGAAUCCUGCCGACAUCG
rnacentral:tRNA from 1 species